UACGUAGGGUGCGAGCGUUGUCCGGAAUUAUUGGGCGUAAAGAGCUCGUAGGCGGUCUGUCGCGUCGGUCGUGAAAACUUGGGGCUUAACCCUGAGCUUGCGGUCGAUACGGGCAUGACUGGAGUUCGGUAGGGGAGACUGGAAUUCCUGGUGUAGCGGUGAAAUGCGCAGAUAUCAGGAGGAACACCGGUGGAGAAGGCGGGUCUCUGGGCCGAUACUGACGCUGAGGAGCGAAAGCGUGGGGAGCGAACAGG
rnacentral:rRNA from 1 species